rnacentral:snoRNA from 1 species
UGGGUUUUUUAGCACCACAAGCAUGGCACAGCUGCUCCGCUGUGUCUCUGACAUCAGAGCCAAGAACAAGUGGCUGUUUCUGUGUUCAGUGUUCAGAAGCCAGUGAGCACAAAAGACGGUUAGAGCCUGACAUAG